UACGAAGGGGGCGAGCGUUGUUCGGAUUUAUUGGGCGUAAAGGGCGCGUAGGCGGCUAGUUUCGUCGAGUGUGAAAGCCCCGGGCUUAACCUGGGAACUGCGCUCGAAACGGGCUGGCUAGAGAUCGGGAGAGGAGAGUGGAAUUCCCAGUGUAGAGGUGAAAUUCGUAGAUAUUGGGAAGAACACCGGUGGCGAAGGCGGCUCUCUGGACCGAUACUGACGCUGAGGCGCGAAAGCCAGGGGAGCAAACGGG
rnacentral:rRNA from 1 species